rnacentral:rRNA from 1 species
AACCUGCCGCUUACUCGGGGAUAGCCUUUCGAAAGAAAGAUUAAUACCCGAUGGUAUAAAAGAGUUCGCAUGUUCUCUUUAUAAAGAAUUUCGGUAAGCGAUGGGGAUGCGUUCCAUUAGAUAGUUGGCGGGGUAACGGCCCACCAAGUCUAACGAUGGAUAGGGGUUCUGAGAGGAAGGUCCCCCACAUUGGAACUGAGACACGGUCCAAACUCCUACGGGAGGCAGCAGUGAGGAAUAUUGGUCAAUGGACGAGAGUCUGAACCAGCCAAGUCGCGUGCAAGGAAGAAUUCGUCCUAUGGAUUAGUAAACUGUCUUUUGCGAAGGGGAAUAAAGUGCAUCACGUGUGAUUGUUUUGUAUGUACUCUGCGAAUAAGGAUCGGCUAACUCCGUGCCAGCCGCGGC